rnacentral:misc_RNA from 1 species
AAGUCGUAACAAGGUUUCCGUAGGUGAACCUGCGGAAGGAUCAUUAACACGUAUCCACGUAUCAAAACCCCUCUGUGCAAACCUCUUCGUACUCCAACUGACUGAUUAUGUCGUGUGAUAAAGCGCAAGCUUUUGACUCACUUCACUAAGAUUAUUCUAAUCUAAGCACAACUCUUAGCAACGGAUAUCUUGGUUCUC